UUGAAAGGGAAACGAUUGAAGUCAGUCGUACCUAUGGGUAAUCAGCCUUUUGGGUGUGAUUUUGUGGAGCGUGAGGAGUUAAACGCCUUCAUGCCUGCAUAUUCGUGCACUUUGGGUGUACUUGCCCGUGUGUAAGUUAACAUCAAUUUUGGUGGUCAUAAAAUGGCUGGAGGAAUGUAGCUUGGAUCUUGUAUUGAAGUGUUAUAGCCUUCGGUAGAUGUGACGAUCGGGAUGAGGAUUGCAACGGAUACCCUUCGGGGCUACCUGUCUGAUCUCUGAUUGUUGCUCUGGUACCGAAAGCUUGCUUACGGUUAUCAAAGUCGAUGGUCAAUAGGUUAGAACGGGUUAAAUUCGUUAAGGAUGUUGACGUA
rnacentral:rRNA from 1 species